rnacentral:rRNA from 1 species
UACGUAGGGCGCAAGCGUUAUCCGGAAUUAUUGGGCAUAAAGAGCUCGUAGGCGGUUUGUCGCGUCUGCCGUGAAAGUCCGGGGGCUCAACUCCGGAUCUGCGGUGGGUACGGGCAGACUAGAGUGAUGUAGGGGGAGACUGGAAUUCCAGGUGUAGCGGUGAAAUGCGUAGAUAUCUGGAGGAACACCGGUGGCGAAAGCGGCAUCCUGGGACCGGCAUUGACGCUGAGGCGCGAAAGCUAGGGGAGCAAAGCGGGG